rnacentral:lncRNA from 1 species
CAGCCUCGUCCCCACCCUGCAGCGUACAUAUAAAGCUGGCGAGCGCGCUCCCCGCUCUCUUUUUUCUCCGCGGAGGGCCGGUGCGGCGGCACACGGUGUGACGGAGAGGAGGUUUUCAAUCGUGUCGAGUACAUUGCACAUUAAGCAUUUCAUGGAAGGCCUAUCACAAGUAGAAGAAUACUUCGUACACACAAGUGGAUUUUCCUGAAAGCUGAGUAUGUUCUAAUGAUCAGUGGGGAUAAAUGUAUUAGAAAAUGAUGCAUAGGAUUAAAUUAGUAGUUAUGUCAUUAGCUUUAAAAUUGAGGUAUCAGUAAUUUUGGGCAUGUUUGACAUGGUCUAGAACUGUGUGGGCUGGGGGGUUUGGGAAGAGAUACUUGGUGUUGGAGGAGCUGGUAAAAUGCCUAUCCUGAAGUGUUCGUACAAAAUUUAAAGUUCACUUCAGUAUAGCUUUUAAUUUUAAAUUUGCACUUUAUUGGGAAAUAAGUAUGAAACAGUGUUUAGUCAAAAAAAAAAAAAGGGACAUCUGGAUGCUUAUUAAUAUAAAUAAGCAAAUAUUCCUAUAUUUUAAUAAAAAUGUGUAUUUACUUUUUUAAUGUAUAGUUGUUAUCCUCAUUUCUUUGAAAGAAAGAAAAAAGAAUCUGUAUUCGUAUAGAUCAGGAUCUGUAUUCAUUUAAAUUUUAUUCAAAUGCUUAUAACGAGUUGUUAGAAAAGUAGAAAUUGGUUGUUCUUACUGGCUUAUGUAAUAUGAUACAUGAACUUGUGGUAAUUUGUGAUUUUACUCAAAUUUCUAGAAUGGCAUGAACAGUUUCCAGUAAUGGGAAUGUGACAUAUCCUGAAGAAAAAUUUCCUCAAGACAGGAAAUAAUACAAGAGGUAAAAUGUAUUGAAUAAACAGCAGACUUUUUUGUUGAUUGUAAUUUAUUUCCAUUUUAGUACAUUGCUAGUGAAAGAGGUGGAUGUUGUCUUGUGGAAUAUAUAAAUGUAUGAGUGGUGUUACAGUUCCUGUCACUGAUCCUUGUGGAUAAUGGUGAAUCAUGCUAAAACUGUCAAACCUGAUACAUUGAUGAGCAACUUCUUAAGCCUUUGGCUACUGAAUAUCAAACCACUUAAGAUAUUUCAAUCAUAAACCGUAUGAGCUGGUGUUGGUUUAAUGCUGCUGCUGUGUACAAGUGAGGUACCAGCAUAUGUACCAGGCUGUGAAUAAGAAUGUUGAUGCAUUGUCUAAACCCACGUGAGGUCUGUGGUAACAAAAAUAAAUACUGUUGUAGAAGCUUGCAUCUUUGAAGAGCAGAGAGGAGGAAGUGUUAUUCUGCCUUCUAGUGGGUAAAUAACAAGCAGUAGUCAGGUGUGGUCAGGAAGUGUUGCAGGUGUUUGAAAUCUAGUGAUGAUGUUUGCACUUCGAUCCUCUUAGGACCGUUAAUUUGGGGGUCAUUCAGAUGUGAGCAUUUAGGAAAUGUCUAAUGACGAAGGUGGAAUUUGAUGGUAAAUUGUAGUGAAUUCUAAAUUAAGCGGUUUCAGCUCCAGAGAUAGAUUACUUCACAAGGGCAAGUAAAAAUUUUAAGUAGCUGAACUUAAAAUUUUUCAGUGAAAUUCACUUUACUGCACUGGUGUUUGGGUCCAUGGGCUGCUUAUAGUUAAAAAGUUAAAAUGUAGAUAGUGUUAUUCAAGAAAGGUACCUUUAAAUACUUUGUUAGCUAUCAGUACUUUCUUUUGAACAGUGGGUUUUGUUCUAGUAUGUGAAGUUCAAAUGUGUGAGUGAAACUUCUUGUGCAGCAGUGCUGCCUAUAAGAUGCUGUAUUGUUUAGACAGGCACUAUUGCAAGUAGAAAGGGGUGUGACUUUGUGGCUCACCUAGAGAAAAGUUAGAAGUAGCAAACCUUGUUAGUAUUAACUAACCAGUGCAUUUUAUGUCUUUGCAGAGAUGCUUGAAGGCUGCGUCUGAAUAGAAGGAAAACAUGUUUUGUAGAAAACAAGCAGGAGCAAGUGCUUUUAGCUUAUUCAGAGAUGAAUGGGAGCACUUGUCAGAACUGCCUGACAAAUGUGGAUGAUGUAACCAGAAGGAAGUGUAACACCUGAAGAGAUACUGUGGCUUGGAGUUAAUGCUUUUAAAAAGCCUGCUAAAAUAGCUGCAAUUUUGUCCAGUAGAUACUGUCUCUGCAUAUUUAAAAUACCAUCUUUCCAAAAUACUGAACUGUCUUCUGCUGGAAGUGUAGCAGUAAUAUUAGGGAAAGGAGUGCAUGAAAAAACCCUUGAUUAUUUACCCUUUUAAAAUACCAUAUAGGUGCACAGUCUUGCAGAUACUGGAGAGCUGUGAUAACUCGGGAUUGGAACUCACAGGCAGGCCUUGUAAAAAGGGUGAAAGCAAAGACAAUGUCUACAGCUUGCAUCACUGUAUCUGGUGAGGGAGUGAGGAGUUGGGGUUUUAUGAGCUGCUGUUUCAGCAGGAGAAGACUAGUACCACAGCAGUGGAACUGCCCCUUGAGGAAUGCACUGGUAACAGUACUUGCUUGCUCUCUGGGGGAAAGAGGUUGGUAGUGGGAGAAGAGUUAACGUACAUUGCAACUUGGGCUUUUGUCUUGGUUUGAAAAGACAGGUGUCUGCCUAAGGAAGGCAGGAACCUCCCUUGAAACGGAAAAUGUAAACCCCCUCCAAAUUACUAUAAUUUUGAAAUUAAGGGUCUCUCAGGCAAAGAUAUAGGAAUAGGAAUAACAGUUCUUUAUUAGGAAAAAUAAAAAAGCAGUAAUACAAAACAUCACUGAUAGAGUCAGAAUACAACCUGACAACCCUGUGGGAAUCAGGAUGUUGGUAGCAGUCCAAUUGGAUGGUGGCUGCAGUACUUUGGAGCAACAGGUGUGGUUCUCUUGAAGUAGUGAUCCUGUAGAAGGGUGGAGUUUUCCUCUGAAGGUCCAGUGGUGGUGUAGGUGGCCUUGAUCUUCCUCUGGGAAUCCAGUAGAGAAGAAAGCUACUCCUCUGGAAUCCAGUGGGAGAAGGCUGCCUUGUGGUAUUCCAAACCUCAGAUUACAUCCAGAUAGGAAUGCUUGGCUCCUCCCCCUGGGCAGAGCCUCUCCCAAUGAGAUUAUGUAAUUUUGUCAGUCAAGGAAUGACCACUAACAGAAUAUGCCUCCCCAGAGGGAGGGUUGGAUGUGGAAGAGAUAAAGAAAACUGCCCAAUUAACAGAAGAUAACUGCCACACCUGUAAUAGAUAGCAAUAGAAUACACACCCCCAGCUACAUCUUGCAACCUAAGACAGCUUUGAACAGUCACUUGAAAAGUACUGGUGCUGUAAUUGUAAUAGCAGCAUAUUUGCUGUAGUCAGCAAACUGUCCCUUCCACAGAGGAAUGGAGGAUUGUAAGUUGGUCACCAAGGAAGUUUAAAGACAAAAGUUUACCUUGAAGCAUGACUUUCAAGCCUUAUUGUUAGGAAUUCUUUGUAAAGGCAGAAACAUUAUAACAGCAUAAUUCCUACUGUAACUGAAUACUUUUGAAAUCAUCCAAAAUACAUAAAACAGCUCUAUAGUUCAUGGGGUGUACCUGUUCAUCAAUGACGAAUUCUAUGUAUGUACAAUUUUCUGUCAAAAGUAGUAUGAAGUAUAAACAUUACCAGGAACAACGCAUAAAGCAUUGGAAAUGUCAAAAAUAAGUAUCCAUCAUGCUACUGAAGUGGAUGCCAAGGAUCUGACUGAACUCCAUGAGUGCAUUGGCUCACUUGGCGCAUCCUGUGGUUUUCUUACUAAACAGUGGCCUGCUGCUUUGGCUAAAGGCUGCUCCUUUUGAGCAAGGAAUGGUAAAUCAGUCUGUUGAAUAUCAAGAUCUGCAGAAAUAAAGUAGAAAAUAGCUUUCUCUUUAUUGCUUUAAAUAACUUGUUUCUGUUAACAAAUGUUGCUGGGAAUGGUGCGUAUUUUUAUGUGCCAUGUUUUAUACAUGCUUCUGAAUAAAAAUAAGGAUGUUAAAGUCA